UCACGCAAAAAAAGGGGUAGAUUUAAUACACUUACGUUGAGCCCGUCAUAAAGGUUCUUUGACGUCACGCGUUACCUAGUACCACAAAAAAGACAGGCUAUUCAUGGAGCUAGGAGAAAAGCAGCCUAAUUUCCUGGGAAAAGCAGAAUUCUCUACCCUGAUUGGAUGCACUGCUGGUUUUUCAUAUGAAAGUCACACGUUAACAUACACUCACAGACAUACAUAAAGUCUAGAGUAUGCUCGUCCGACCUCAACUCUCUCCCUCUCUUAGCUACCGGUCUCAAAUGAAGAACUUUUGACAUUGCCGAGUGCUACGACUUAAUAUGGAGUUCAGAGGCGGGUUUGCACAACAAACAGAUGUUCUUUGAUGUCAGCUGCAGUGAGGGGGUGGCAAAAAAUGGGAACGCUAAAAAGAAGUAGGAGGAAGGUGUCAGAACUCUAAUCACCAUGCAGCUUUUAGAAAGAAAUCUAUUGUAUUUCUUAGCACAAACACAGGCUUUGAGUCACAGUUACAACGCCGGCUCGCUGAUCCAGAGAUGUUGGAUGGAAGCUAAAUUACACAGGCUGUCAACUAAACCAAUGUACAACUCCAUUCGGGUGCAUAAUAAAUUAUGUAAAAGAGCCUAACAGCAAGAAAAUGACCGUGCCAUUUGCUGUCACUUCAGACGAUUUGUAUUAUGACAUUUCACGAAUGCUUGGCCAAUUACCCUGAAUAGAUCUAUUGCAUAAACUAAAUAAUAGUUUCCCUAGUUUCUCCACUUCAGCUAUGUGAUUUAGUUAUUCAUUAAACCACCCACAUCACAAGUGCAAAAUACAGCUCAGGAUAUGUACUCCAUGAACAUCUCAUUUAGGUUAGUAUGUGUCAGCACAGUGAAUAAGUUAUAGACCCACACGCCUACAAAACCAGUAGUAUUUUCCAAAACAACAGCGUUUACACAACAUGCCACAAUUUAUUUCCACUGCAGUCAGCCUAGUAGAUAUAGUAUUCAUGUUGUAAAAGAAAACUGCUAUCGUAUUACAACAAAUAUCUUUCUACAUCUAUAAAUAUAUUUAAUAUUUGUCUAUAUAAUGUCUAUACAUUUUGUAUACUUUAUUGGUGACCUCUUCCUACUGUAGGUUUGAACAUUAGUCUUUUGAGUUGUUAUCCAAGACCUUUUACACUACCACACCAUAGUAUGUGUUAUCAUGCCUCUGAUUUAGUCUAAAAUCAUAAAGGUAUCAAUUUGUUUGGAUAAAAGAUACAUGUUGUGUGUAAUAUCUGUGGUUUCUAAUACUAAAGGAUGUUUCAACGAUACAAAAUGCAAUCUUGGUUACAGUGUAAUGAGACCUCCAUUAGCUGACUGACAAACUCCCCUUGUGUUGAAGGAACAAUAAAAACACUCACACACACAUACUAUCUCACACUGAGGGUGCGACAUGUCAAGACAUGUCAGCUUUACCAUUGUGUAGGCUGAAAUACCAUAUGGUAUCUUAACUUGACAAAGAGAAAGAAGAAUCCCCAAUCAGUUAAUGUAUAGUUAAUCCAUAAAUUCUAAAUCACUCAUGCACAUGUUGCUCCAAUCUAUAUCACUUAAUGUAUUAACAAAAUUAAAAGAGAGGUUAGAAUGUUUGCACUGCUGUUUUCUGUACAAUGAAAGUAAAAGUUGACACACUUGCUAUGUUCAUCAAACAAUCCUACUGUAUGGCUUCAAAAGACAUAAUAUUUUUACAAUAUUGUGCCUUUUCAUCCUUUUUUUUUUUUUUUUUGGAGAUUUACAGCUUGUGCUCACUAUUUAUUCACUGCAUUCUUCUUUUUGUGUUCCAUGGAAAUCAUGGUAAGUCAUACAGAACUUGGAAUGAAAUGAGAGCGAGUAAAUAACUACAAAAUUUUCAAUCUGGAAUUUUGGAAAUACUCUUUUAAUAAUCAGGCAAGUCUACAUAGUCCAUCUGAAAUGAGUGUAUUCUGUUUUACAGGUAACUGGUGGGUUUUUGAACUUUGAAUCUGGAAUUCUUACAGGUUUUUUCAGUCUUGGAAGAACAUCUUGAAUUAUUUCCAAGAGCUUCCUGAAGAAGAGAUACAACAGAAACGUCUCCUUGUUGGCACGUCUAUGACUUCAAUCUGCCAUGCAGCUUUGUCUUAACUGCAGUUGCAGUUGCUUGCCCCGAGGCACUGUCAUUUGAAGUCGAGAAAGAGCUGUAAGAUGUGGAAAUGGCCUCUGAAGAUCAAACAACUAUCCCUUUCCCUGUGUUACAAGGAAAGAGGAAGAAAUGACAUGCUGAGACAUCAGUCCAGUCGAAAAGUGUCAAGAGAGCAGCUCGAUUUAGAAGUUACAGUGUGAAGGGGGCAGAGAAAGAAAAAAGCAAGGGUGUGCAAGGUAAAAAGGAGAUGGUUGACUCAAAUCAGAUGGCAGCAGAGGCCAGGCCCGGUCAUAUGGCUCGAGGUUUUCUGGACCUGCUGUGCUUAGAGAGGAAAGCACACAACAUUCUGCUGCAUUCCAUCCACACACAUGUCUCAAAUCAGCACUGUAAACCAGCUCAGAGUUUUAGCCAGCUAAUAUAUUUGCCAGUCUUGUACUUUAUGAAGUUAGGAGAUGAAGGUAAACCGGGAGAGGAGCUUAAAUGGCUUGUAAAUAUUAAAACUUUACCCCAUAUCCACUGACAGAGCUGUGGUAUCCAAUCUGGCCAUAUUAUGCAAAUCUUGUACCAAAAAGACAGUCGUUCUGGUCUGGAAAAAUUAGCUUAAAGGUGAAGUGUGUCUUUUUAUCUGUGUUAAAAUACCUGAAGCUGCGGUCUGCAACGUGCAUUCAGUUGACAGACAUUCCUAUUUGUUGUGCUGCAGCCACGCAUUUUACCUGUCUUGUCAGAAAUUAAAUUAUCAUGUGUGAGCUGAUUGAUAUAAAUUUAAAUAACUUCAGACCAUUAUGCCAAAGCUAGUUUGUAAUGUCAUAAAGUUGCUCAACUACAUUACUCAAGUUUUCAAAACAAGGGCUCGACUUGUAAACAAAGAAUGUGAUGCACCUUGUUUUGUUUUUUGGGUUUUUUUUUUGUUGUUGUUGUUGUUUGUUUUUUGGAGGCAGGUUGUGUACAGUAGUAUGUUAUUGUUCAGGCUAAUUCUGAGAUGGGUUCGGCCAAGCACCAGCUCUGUUACCUGGCACCAUUUAUAAAAAAAAAAGUUAAUAGUGGAAAACAUUUCAAAGUAACUCAUGAAAGCAGUUAGGAAAUGUCUGACUGACCUUACUGGAAGGAAAAAGCUCAGAAAAAUUAAAGCUGGAAUUGAAGACAACAGCCCUUGAGAGAUGAAAACAGGCACAGAAAGAGAACAGACAGGAAGGGAGCGUCUUCAGUUUGUCUCAGCACUGAAAUGAAAUCAGUAUUCAUGGCAGAAGGACAAUCCAUGGAAACCAGAUGCGCCUAAACUUUCAUGUAUCCACCUCUUUUAAAAAUGCAGUUUUCAUUUCCUGCUACAAAGUCCAUCAGUAUGUGUGUGAGUUUGGCCUGAGAUGAACUGGCAAUGCGUGCUAGCAUGCUAAGCUGCGUUAGGUUUUUACUGGAAUAUAUUACGGUAUAUAAUGCGUGUAACAUCUGAACAACUGUUUCUUGUCUUCUAUACAUCUGGGUUUUGGCCUCUUUUUAUGAUUGGUGCAUCUUGCAUUAUGCAUUGGGGCUGUGGCAACCACUAUAACAAAUCGGCUGAUAUUUAUUUCAUUUUUCUUUUGGAGUUGUAAAAGAAAGACUCAUGCUUUGCUUUCAGAUGCAUGCUUUGAUGUCGCCAAAGAGGACAUUCUUUGCCCUGACAUUUAUUGUGUUGGAGCAUACCGGAGCAAGACAUUUACACCUCAUAACAAGCCUUCCUGGCAUUCUGACAAAUGUCCCCACUGUUCUGAGGUCAGAUUAACAUUAAAAAUGUCACAAGUCUCCCCAGCCCCUUCUCAUUAUUCGAGUUCUAAAAGCACAAACACCUACGUCUCCUUCAAAACAGCGACCUUUGCUGCUUUUCCCUGCUGUUAGCACCCAAAUUAAUUUCUCCAUGGCUAAUAUUAUAUACUUAACGAUAGAUAGAUAGAUAGAUU